AACGAACGCUGGCGGCAUGCCUAACACAUGCAAGUCGAACGAGACCUUCGGGUCUAGUGGCGCACGGGUGCGUAACGCGUGGGAACCUGCCCUUAGGUUCGGAAUAACUCCCCGAAAGGGGUUCUAAUACCGGAUAAUGUCUUCGGACCAAAGAUUUAUCGCCUUUGGAUGGGCCCGCGUUGGAUUAGCUAGUUGGUAGGGUAAAAGCCUACCAAGGCGACGAUCCAUAGCUGGUCUGAGAGGAUGAUCAGCCACACUGGGACUGAGACACGGCCCAGACUCCUACGGGAGGCAGCAGUGGGGAAUAUUGGACAAUGGGCGAAAGCCUGAUCCAGCAAUGCCGCGUGAGUGAUGAAGGCCUUAGGGUUGUAAAGCUCUUUUAACCGGGAUGAUAAUGACAGUACCGGGAGAAUAAGCGCCGGCUAACUCCGUG
rnacentral:rRNA from 1 species